rnacentral:lncRNA from 10 species
CUCUGAAGCUGCUGAAUGCUUGCAGGCACAGAGGUCUCCUGGUUCUCAGACUUUUCCACUACUCCCUUUUCUGUAAGUAGAAAUUGUUGUGAACCAGGUGGGGCAAAGACAUACUAGCAAAUUGAAAUUUUUAUGUAAUUUUUUUUUUUGUGCACUGAUACUGCCAGGGGAGAUUUUAGGUAAAACACUGAGCAGACCUCAGACCUUUUGUUGCAAGGCGGUAAAGAUAGCAUUUACUAAAGGAGGCUUUGUAGCCAUCGGAGAGCUGUUUGCUUCGUGAUGAGCCUGGAUAUUGAAGGAAGAGGUGUGGGUGUUCAGAUAACGAGCUGGGUUGUCUCUGGGAGUAAACGGAAGGCCAGUGAGGUGAGUGUCAGGGUCAGUCAUCUUUACUGCUAUGUAGGGAUUGAGAGUAGAAGAAAAAGCCAGAAGGCUGAGUUCUAGCGAAUGCCUUUGUUCUAACUUCAUCAUUGUUCUCACUUAACUCUGCUUUCUCUGCAAGAAAAAUUUGUGGCACUCGGGAAGGUGGUGACUGCCCAUUGCAUUCUUGCUUUGACAAUGAGAGGUCACAUGGUACUGUUUCCAGUCAUUACAGUAGUAAGCCAA